rnacentral:rRNA from 1 species
UACGUAGGGGGCAAGCGUUAUCCGGAUUUACUGGGUGUAAAGGGAGCGUAGACGGCUGUGCAAGUCUGAAGUGAAAGGCAAGGGCUCAACCUUUGGACUGCUUUGGAAACUGUGCAGCUAGAGUGUCGGAGAGGCAAGUGGAAUUCCUAGUGUAGCGGUGAAAUGCGUAGAUAUUAGGAGGAACACCAGUGGCGAAGGCGGCUUGCUGGACGAAGACUGACGUUGAGGCUCGAAAGCGUGGGGAGCAAACAGG